UCUUCAUUCUGCACUCUUUCUCACCGGUCAAAGAAGCGAGAGAGUGUGCGAAAUGAAGAGA
rfam:Pristionchus pacificus strain PS312 contig11844, whole genome shotgun sequence.